GGUGGCUCAGUGGUAGAGUGCUUGCCUUGCAUGCAGGAAGCCCUGGGUUCGAUUCCUCAGCACCA
rnacentral:tRNA from 1 species